rnacentral:rRNA from 1 species
GGGCCCGCACAAGCGGAGGAACAUGUGGUUUAAUUCGAUGAUACGCGAGGAACCUUACCCGGGCUAGAACGUAGGGAGACCGAUGGGGAAACUCAUUUUUCAGCAAUGACUGCCUACGAGGUGCUGCAUGGUUGUCGUCAGCUCGUGCCGUGAGGUGUCGGCUUAAGUGCCAUAACGAGCGCAACCCUUAUUGUUAGUUGCCAGCGGGUCAUGCCGGGGACUCUAGCAAAACUGCCAGCGUAAGCUGUGAGGAAGGUGGGGAUGACGUCAAAUCAGCACGGCCCUUACGUCCGGGGCGACACACGUGUUACAAUGGGUGGUACAGAGGGUAGCUACCGGGUGACCGGAUGCCAAUCUCUAAAGCCAUUCUCAGUUCGGAUCGAAGUCUGCAACCCGACUUCGUGAAGCUGGAUUCGUCUAGUAAUCGCGCAUCAGCCAUGGCG